CACCCAGUCCGAGGUUCCGGUGAAACCGGAACUUGGUGCGAAAGGGA
rnacentral:sRNA from 1 species